AUAUAAAAUUACAGAAUUUGUAGCUGGCAGCUGAUAACCAGCAAUUUGUCAUGUGAUAGUAUAAUUUAAAUGUUUGUAAUUGUAUAGCUCUCUAGAAAAAUACAGUUUUGUAGAAACACUGGAGGUUCCAUCUGAAUGUAAGAAAAAGCUUUUUUUACUGACCUAGUGGCCAAGUGCCCUAGCACUGCCACAGGUUGCCCAGGAAGGCUGUGGAGUCUCCUCCAUUCUUGGAGAUAGUCAAAAGCCAUCUGGAUGUGGUCCUGGGCAGCCUCCUGUAGGUGGCCCAGCUUGAGUAGGGGCAGUUGGACAUGAUGACCUCAGAGUUCCCUUUGAACCUCAAUCAUUCUGUGAUUCUGUGAAAAAUUAACUGGCUUCAGGCAUUAUCGUGUCAUCUUGCAUACCUUUAGAAAUAUAUGCAUAUGUAUACUCACGUAACUUUAAAAUCUCUUUACCUUAGGUUUUUGGCUUACCUGGUUUACAUAUAGUAUGUUACAGUGUGCGUAAAGUUUGAGUAAUGAGAUAUUACUGAUUUUGAUUCAAACUUAUUUUAAAAUUUUGAAGAGGAAGAUCUGAAGUCAGUCUUUUCAAUAUAGUUACUUCCAAGUAUAAGAAUUUGAAGUUGAAUUAUUGGAUGUCAACUUCAGCAAAGAAAGGUUUGUAGAAAGGCUUAAUUGUCUGGAAAUUAAAAUGUUCUCUUGUCAGCAUGACACAAAAAGAGAUAAAACAUGGAUGCAAAAUUUCCAUCACUACCACAGUGCUGUAAGGAGGCCUAUUGGUAACUAUGGUUUAAGCCCUGAGUUUUCUUUCAGGUAAUUGUAGGCAUAGGUUAAGUAAUGAUCAAGAGCAAAAAUCCUUUCCAGCCAAAAAUACCCAGGUUUUUCUUGCUAUGAGCUCCCUUUGUUCUUGAGAAGAAAUAUUUGACCAACAAAAUAAUUUAGUUGUGUGGCCAGCUCAGAGGUAUUGUCUGGGUAGUUACAAGUUGCAUCUUGUAUGUUUUCUUUUGUUCUUCCACUUACUCAACAGUUGUAGCUAUGUCAGGAGGGAUUUUUUUUUCAUUUUCAGCUGAAGAGUUGCACCCAGCUUGUGUUGUGCGAUUUUAUGCUCCUCAAUUACAAGUUUGAAACUAAUUCAUGUAUGGGAAAGCUAACCUUUCUCUUGCUAAAUCUAAAGCUAACCUUUUUGUUGAACAAAAUCAGAGUUCCUUAUUUUCCUUCUUCCCCACUGUUUCUCCUUUUAUCCUACUUUAAUUACCAUCACAGCUUCUUUUCCCAGUGUCAAUAAGUUGAUGUCUGCUGCUUGCACAUGAAUCAAAUUUGUGACCUUUCCAGACCCUUUCUAGACAUCUUGAUUCCUGCUGCUUUGUUAACAGAGAUUAAGUGGCUCCAAAAAUCUUUUUUGGAGUCUGGGAAGUUUCUGUGUUUGUGCUAGGCCUUGCAGAAGGAGUCACCAAAAAAAUUAAUAAACUUAGCCUGUAAGUCAGAACAGAUUCUGGAAUUCCCUUUUACCAGGAGUAAGCAGAAUCUAACUUCAUCAUGCAGUAGGACAUAAUGAAUGAACAAAUAGUAUAGUACAGUUAUUUGUGACAGCAGGAUUCUCAAGUUCCUUCUAGUCCUUUCCAGAUCUCCUUUCUGUAUGCAUAGUGCUCUGUAAGGAUGUCUAAUUUCAUCUUUGCUUCAACCAUUUAUCCAUUCAAGAAAGUAUUAAUUGUCUGGUAUAAAUUUACAGUGGUUCUCUAGUUUAUGGCAGUGAUGAGACUAGAAAAAAAACAAACCUGAGGUACUGAAGAGUGCUCAAAAAAGCUCUGAUAUUUUAUUUUCUUUUAAGUUCCUUAGUGCAACCGGAAAACUAACUGCUUCCCUUGCUUGGGUUACAUGAUUUUGUAGGCAUUUUCACAGCUUCAAAAUUAUAAAUCUAUGAGAAGUACAAAGGGCCAACAACCAUCUCAGCAGUCUAGACUCCAGUUUGGUUUGCAAUUAAGGUCUUCCAAGGAGGCUUGAGGAGCCUGAUUACUACAUAAGUUCAGAAAGACUGGGUUAACCAGCCCUCCUGUAUCUAGCAUGUCUCAAGAGGAUGUGGGUACACUCUGGGCUUUUUUAAAUAACCAUUUGUGUGCAUCUGAAGCUAACUGGCUUUUUGGCUUGAGAACAUUUGUCUAAAUUUAUUACUGUACUUAAGUAUACCUAUAAAAGAGGGGGUUUUCUAAUCAUCAAAACAAUUAUAAUAUGUUGAUUAUGAAGUAAACCUUAAUCAGUAAAGAUGAUGACUAUAUCAUAUUCAGGAAGGGGUACAAAUGUCAUGCAAAUAGUGAUAAUAUUUAUUUUCAUGAGCAUUAAACAAAAUCAAUAAAAAAUACCUAGAAUUAGAACAGUUUAGGAGAAACAUUCUUCCUGGACAUCCCACACAUCCAUGCAUGGGAAAAAUAGUUUUAACUUGAACAGAGUCUAUGGAAUUGGCUGAUAGUAUAGAUCAGUAUUUGUAAAGAAUGUUUUAAAUAAAACUUCAGUGCUUUCUUUUAUUGACUUAUGAUGAAAAUUAAAGUUACUGUUUAACUUACUGGUAUCUAACAUAAAGUUUGUGUUCUGAGGUAUCUCCGAUAUUUUUGCAAAAAUAAUGGUUGUGAAAAUAGCAAUGUAGACCACAGUGUAAUAGUAACACAUUCUGUUUUGCAUUACAUAAACUUGACUGUUAUAUGUGCAGUGCAAACACACAUCUUUGAGUAUCUCCUAUUUAUAAGACUGUAGGAGAAUCUGGUUCAGUUUCCUCCCUCUUACCUUCUAUAUUAGAGCAGUUCUAGAAUUAUAGCAUAUUUUGCAGCAGGAAUUUUUUGAUAGCUCCUGCAGUUCUUCAAAAGUGAAUUAUAGUUAUAUACCUAGCCUCAUGAUUAAAAAAACUUAAAACCCCCCAAACCAACCCCCCAAAACUCCACUGAUCCACCCCAAACAACAAAAAACCCCACAAAAAAAUGCCCACUGAAGUACAGACCUUUUUCCUCCAAGUAAAUGCUCUUGCCAUUUAGCUGUUGAGUUGUGGGUAAGUAUACAAUCUUAAUGUUCUCUGUAACAAUGCUGAAUCUCUUAUCAACAAAUUUUAUAUGGGCUCUGAUCUAGUAAGUGUAUCCUAAGAAUGCUUAUCCUAUUGAGUUCUUGAGGUAGAUAAAGGGACUUGUGGGUUUUGUUGGGAUUGGCGCCAAACUUUUAAGGUCUGAACAUGCCUAGGACAGUGCACUUGGGGAUCAGGAAAUUUUAUUGGCAAAAAAUGUUUGUGGAUCUCACGAUUUAAUUGCCCAUUAGAUUUGGUGAGGUUGACUGGAGUAAUGCAAUGUAAGUGUGUAACUCCUUUAGGAAGAGCUGGCAAGAGAGGGAGUGCCUUACAUACAUUGGUUCUGAGGUCAAUAGCGUAGGAGAUAACCUGCUAUAAAUCUAGGUGGUGAUAAGAGGGAGACAAAAUUCAGAGGGAUCUGCAUUGUGCCUUAAAAUCAGGAGAAUCAAAUGGGAAAAACAUUAAAGAGCAUGUAGAGUGUUCCACGUACACAGCAAAGGACUUCCUUGAAAAAGAGAGAGUAGGGAUUAUCUGAGAAAGAAUUGGUCCAGAUAGUUCUUGAUAUGUGCUGAUCACAGCAGAUGAUGAAAACAGCUACAAAGACUCUGGGCUCUAACUUGCUAAUUAUGAGACAUUAAUUUGCUGAGAUUUUGAAGGGUGAAAGUAUCUUGUAUGAGAGGGACCUUAGAAAGUAGAGCUCACAAUGAUAGUAUAAAAAUCAUGAGGACAAAAACAAUGUUUAAGCCAAUAAAAUAAAGAUUUGGUACACCUGAACGUCCUAUAAGUAAAUCAGAAAUACAAAGAUGACUGAAGGAUAUUUGAGAGACAGGGCUAACAAGCUAUGAAAAGAUAAUGUUGAAAAGGUAUUGUUUAGUGCAUUUUUUGUCAUUGUUUGAAUUGGUGAAAAGACAACUAAGCAAAGGAGUAGUACAGAUAAAUUACACUGCUUCAGCUAGUUGUAGGAGUAUUUGGCUAAUUAUCAUGAGAAGCAGCAACUAAUUUGAAAAAGUCUAGAAUGCUUGUUUGAGAACACGCAGAAGGUAGAAAAUACAUACAAGGAAACACGUUUCCAUCCUUUUAGAGGAAAAUGGAACUUGGGGUAUUACCAAUGACACUUAAAUUCCUGAAAGAUGUUUUAAACUGUAAAUGGCGUAGAUGCACAAAAACCAGAGAAUGUUUGUAAGUGUUGGUUUGGCAAAAAGAUUGCACUCUCAAAAUAAGUCAGUGGCUUACUAGAGGACAAGGGAGAUGAUUAAUUUUUCUGAUCUGGGGCAUAAAAUAUGUGAUUGAAAAUCCCUGGUGAUACCAAACUGGGAAAGUCUGCAGUUACACUGGAAGACAGGAUUAGAAUCAAAAGGUUGUUAAAUUGGAGAAAUGGUCUGAAAAAUAAAAUGCAAUUCAGGAGGGACAAAUAGAAACUUCUAAAGAGAAUAAUCCUCUUUACCAACAGUGUGAGCAGUGACAGGCAAGGAAAUUAUGUGAAACAGAAAAGCAUCUUCAAGUAGGUCAUAAGUUGAGCAUAAAUCAAGAAUGACACAUUGCAAAAGACAGGAACAUUGUGAUACAUAAAUAGGAAUGCCCUUCUGUAAGAGGGGAAAUAAUUGCUUUUCUGUAGCUGGAAAGCCUUUUGCAGGGGUACUGGCUCAGUUUUCUCAGUAUCAAGAAAGAUCACAACUUUUGAAAACAGAGUGAAUGAACUGGGGUUGUUUUAUCUC